UACAGAGGGUGCAAGCGUUAAUCGGAAUUACUGGGCGUAAAGCGUGCGCAGGCGGUUUUGUAAGUCUGACGUGAAAUCCCCGGGCUCAACCUGGGAAUUGCGUUGGAGACUGCAAGGCUUGAAUCUGGCAGAGGGGGGUAGAAUUCCACGUGUAGCAGUGAAAUGCGUAGAGAUGUGGAGGAACACCGAUGGCGAAGGCAGCCCCCUGGGUCAAGAUUGACGCUCAUGCACGAAAGCGUGGGGAGCAAACAGG
rnacentral:rRNA from 1 species